UUAACUAAAAUUUUUAUCGAGUUGGAAGUUUGCGUACGUUUUCCGCUAGGGGCGCUGUUCCAAUUGCAUACAAAUUUGAGUUA
rnacentral:pre_miRNA from 1 species